GAUGAAGAACGUAGCGAAAUGCGAUAAGUAAUGUGAAUUGCAGAAUUCAGUGAAUCAUCGAAUCUUUGAACGCACAUUGCGCCCGCCAGUAUUCUGGCGGGCAUGCCUGUUCGAGCGUCAUUACAACCCUCAGGCCCCCGGGCCUGGCGUUGGGGAUCGGCAGAAGCCCCCUGUGGGCACACGCCGUCCCUCAAAUUCAGUGGCGGUCCCGCCGCAGCUUCCAUUGCGUAGUAGCUAACACCUCGCAACUGGAGAGCGGCGCGGCCAUGCCGUAAAACACCCAACUUCUGAAUGUUGACCUCGAAUCAGGUAGGAAUACCCGCUGAACUUAAGCAUAUCAAUAAGCGGAGGA
rnacentral:misc_RNA from 1 species